CUUGUGAGUAAUUUCUACAGUAAAUACUUACUUUUACUUUCAGUAAGCGUGCCGUUUAUCCUUGCAGCAUCAGCACUCUUUCCUUACCUCUCCACGUGUGAAGCCUCCAGCCAUCUUUCUUCUGAGGUGCUAUAUGGACCAAUGUCACUCCCUCCUCUUUCCAAACGGCCGCAUGUCUUUCCUCCCUGCCCUGCUUCCCCUCCACUUGCAGAACUGAUCCCUUCAUUCUACAGCCCGAAAGCAACCCCCUCACUUGUACGAACUGUCCCAAGUCUCCCCUCUCUUCCGGAGUCCUCAUUCUCAUCCCAUCGGUCCUCUUUCUGUGUCCUUCGAGUUCCUCAUCCUCUUUACGUUUCUUUCCAUCUUCAAAAAUGUGGGCAGAACUUUCUGUUCUAAAAGAAGUCCAAGAGAACAGAAUUCCCUCCAUGUUCCCAUUCCUACUGGAGCUCUAUUCCCUUGUCAGAUAUCCUUGGAGACCAAACUAUCUACCUUCACCUGCCCCCAGCUCCUUGAUUCCCCCUGGAAACUCAGAAUUACCUUGAGUACCAUGAUUCAUCAGUCAUCCAACCCAAUGGCUUUUUCCUGGUUAGGAUUUUGCCAUCUUGACACAAGCUAUAGUGACAUAAGAAGAGGGACAUCAGCUGAGAAAAUGCCUCAGUCUGCUGGCCUGCAGAUCUCCCUUGACUGUUUGGACCACCCCUUGCCGUCCUCCUCUUAGGAGCAAUUCCUUCAUAGAUCAGUGACAGAUUGCGGGCACAUACAUCUUCAAAUGGGGUCAUUAUCUGUCACGUCUGCUGCGCGGCCUGUGUCCGAGAACGUGCGGAGGGUGUC